GACGAACGCUGGCGGCGUGCCUAAUACAUGCAAGUUGAGCGCUGAAGGUUGGUACUUGUACCAACUGGAUGAGCAGCGAACGGGUGAGUAACGCGUGGGGAAUCUGCCUUUGAGCGGGGGACAACAUUUGGAAACGAAUGCUAAUACCGCAUAAAAACUUUAAACACAAGUUUUAAGUUUGAAAGAUGCAAUUGCAUCACUCAAAGAUGAUCCCGCGUUGUAUUAGCUAGUUGGUGAGGUAAAGGCUCGCCAAGGCGAUGAUACAUAGCCGACCUGAGAGGGUGAUCGGCCACAUUGGGACUGAGACACGGCCCAAACUCCUACGGGAGGCAGCAGUAGGGAAUCUUCGGCAAUGGACGAAAGUCUGACCGAGCAACGCCGCGUGAGUGAAGAAGGUUUUCGGAUCGUAAAACUCUGUUGGUAGAGAAGAACGUUGGUGAGAGUGGAAAGCUCAUCAAGUGACGGUAACGACCCAGAAAGGGACGGCUAACUACGU
rnacentral:rRNA from 1 species